AACGAACGCUGGCGGCGUGGAUAAGACAUGCAAGUCGAACGGGAACUUUCGCUGUAGCAAUACAGUGAAAGUUCUAGUGGCGAACGGGUGCGUAACACGUGGGCAAUCUGCCUUAAAGUGGGGGAUAGCUCGGCGAAAGCCGAAUUAAUACCGCAUGUGAUGAGAGACGACAUCGUCUUGAAAUCAAAGCCGGGGCAACCUGGCGCUUUUUGAGGAGUCCGCGGCCUAUCAGCUAGUUGGUGGGGUAACGGCUCACCAAGGCUAUGACGGGUAGCUGGUCUGAGAGGACGACCAGUCACACUGGAACUGAGACACGGUCCAGACACCUACGGGUGGCAGCAGUCGAGAAUUUUUGACAAUGGGGGAAACCCUGAUCGAGCGACGCCGCGUGGAGGAUGAAGGUCUUCGGGUUGUAAACUCCUGUCAUUUGGGAACAAGUNCUAACAAGUAACUACUGUUGGCUUGAUAGUACCAGAAGAGGAAGAGACGGCUAACUCUGUGCCAGC
rnacentral:rRNA from 1 species